rnacentral:lncRNA from 1 species
UUGAAUCCACAAGGGGAUCUUCCCACGAGGGGGUCUUGAAUCCGAUAGGAUCUUCUCCGAAGAGGCCGCGGUCUCUCACGAGGAGGAGAUCCGAUGGAUGAGCGAAGCUCUAUCUCUAAUUUGAGCUAAAUCAACGCUAAACCUAACUAGGACGAGGUGGAGGAGUAUAUAUAGUCAUGGGCCACGAAGGGGUAAGUGAAGGGGUACAUGGGCUGCGGCCCAACACACUGUGCGCAGACAGGCGUCGGACGUCCGGAGGGUUCCGGUCGUCCGGAGGCUCGGGAAGGUCCGGACGUCCGAUGCUCUUCGGACUUCUGUAGAUUCGGCUCGGGUGCGCUUCGGUCGGACGUCCGGAGGGGGUCGGUCGUCCGGAGGCUCGCGGGGUCCCGGACGUCCGGAGUUCUUCGGAUGUCCGCAGAUUCGGUUCGGUGGUCGCUGGCACGGUCGUCCGGAGCCUGGGAGUCGUCGGACGUCCGGUCCUGGUCGGACGUCCGGCCGCUGUAGCUUCGGGCAGCUUCUUCUCUUGGUCCUUGUACUUGGUGUCCUCGCCGUCUUGUCCAUGGUCUUCCUCCUUGUUCCUGGUCAUGCAUAGCACAUAUAUAUGAGGUAGUAACCAUGUCUCACAUGUGGGAAGUGACGGUUCGGAAAGGAGCGAGUUCACCUUGUGUCCAAUGGCGUAUCGUUGAGGCCUCGUCAUAAGUCCUUUUGGGGUUUGGAGAGUAGUCGGAGUGUACAUGGGGAUGAACGUGGGAUGCUCCGCAUCAUCUCCCCCCCCCCUUGGGAAAGAUCCGACCUCGGAUCGUGAUCCUCAUCACCAUGGAAACGAUUGUCGUAGACGGACUUGUAGUUGGACGAAGUUGAAGACAUGGCGUAAUCCAAGUAGUCCAAGGUGUCGCCGGAGUGAUAGACAUGCAAAAAGAGCAAACACAAGCAACACUCGGAAAUAUAAUGGUUAGCGCACACAAAGUGUCCAUCAUGUAAGAAUGAGUCCGUGCGGCAAGAUUGGUCGUGACAAAGCACAUGAAGCUUAUCAAGAUGAUCUAGAAUGAGAUGCAAAGCAUUCAUGGGAGGAAGUGCAAUCAUUGUGCACACAAAUGUAUUGUAAAUAUGAUCAAUGCAACCACGGUGCAAAAUGAUGUCAUAGUGAGACGGUUUAUCAAUAGCAUGAAUAUGGCAAUGGAUGCUCAAUAUGAUUAUGUUCAUAUUGAGCAUCCAAAGUGGUCGGACCCUUCCCCAGACCCUGCGCAAGCGGGAGCUACAUGCACUGGGGCUGCCCCUUUAUGCUCAAUAUGAUUAUGUUAUCAUGCAAUUGAUGGUAGGCAAUAUGAUUACGAUGUAUGAAUAUGCCAUCAAGAAAGAUCACAACAAAUUUGCUAAGAAAAUGCGCAAGCUCGUAUAUCAUGGAUGAAUUGGGAAUAGGUGCAACAAGACAAUCAUAAUGUGUGUUAAUCCAUGCAUAGGGUGCAAAUUUGUCAUGGGUGUUGUUGUACCAUAGCUCAAUGUCGUGGCACUCCUCAACUUGAAGGUCCAUAGGGUCCAUCUCCAAUGCUGGUCCUCCAUCCAAUAUAUGUAUCAUGUAGACAAGAAGAAGGAAACAACAAUGAAAGAAUGACCCAUCCAAUAUGCAUAUGUGAGGAUGGCUCAAAGAGAAGGAGUUCACCUCAAGAAAGUUCCCAAAGAUGUUGGAGUUGUACAUCAUGUAUGCCUUCACAUAACCAAUAUGUCGCAUAACGGCACCGCCUUGUGAAUCCUCCAAAAUGAAAGAACAUGAUAAACACUCGGAAAAACAAAUGAGGUUAGUGCAAAUGCAACACCUAUCAUUCGUGUGGUAAGAUACCCAACAAGUGUAUGCAUCUUGCUCAUCAUAAGAAAGGAUAAGGGAGUAUUGCAUAGUAUGGAGGCAUAUGAUGCGAGAACAACCAAAUGCAAUAGGCUCAAUCAAACAAGCAUGCAUCACAAGUAAAGUGUCCAAGUCUCCAAGAUCAAUAAGCAUAGCAAGUUGGCACUCAAUACAAGGUGACAUGAGAGAUGCAACUAAUGGAGACAAGAGGCAAUGAUCAUGACAAAUCAAGUGAGAGGCAUCAACAUCUAUGUCAUCAACCCAAGAAAGUAAGUAAUAGUGGAACAUGGGUGAUGCAACAUAGCAAACAAUCAUAGCAAUCAAGUCAAGCAAGCUAGUAGUGUGAAGAUGCAACGUACUAGAAGGAAUCAUGGCAAGCAUGUCAUGUGUGCAAAUAGUGGGCAUGAGUAAUGGACUUGACAUAGCACAAGCAUGAAAGCAAGAUAUGAGUAAAGUGUCAUCAAUGUAUUGGCGAGAGACCAUAUGUAAAUAGCAAUGGGGCAUCAUGACUCUCCCAACACAACAAGCAUCAAUAACAUGGGGCACAUGAUAAACAUGGCAAUAGCAACAAGGAUCUCCACCAAGCAUGCAAAUACACAUAGAAGUAUCAUAAUGGUGAAUCAUGGGUAGAUGCAAGCAAGGGUCACAAUUGCAUGGCAAAUGCAUAGAAUCAAGUAUAACAUGCAAAGUGAACACGGGAAAAUGAGCAUAAGGUGACAAGUGGUAAAUAGCCCAUAGCCGUGUGAGAGACAAGUAAAAGAGAUGCGUGUAGUCCUUGCGCGAAGAGAACGGUGGUAAGGAUAGUCCACGGUAUCCCAAAGUGUCGUUGCUCUCAAGAGCUCGUUUCGUCAACUCUUGAGAUUGAGAGGUUGACGAGUAUAUGAGAGUACCUACACAAAACAAAGACAAAGGAAAAAUUGUGUGUGCAUGGUAUAUGUACACACCAUCCAUCAUGAUGCGCACAUGCAUGUGUCGGUUAGCACAAAAUAGCCAACGCUCAAAUAAAUGAGAUGCGCGAUAUAGAAACAUGUCAUCCAUCAUGAUAGGUUUGUUGUUAUGAAUGGCAUAAUGGAGACUCAAAGGAUGUAAUGCAUCAUGAGAAAUAUUUAGAGCAUUGUUAUUCAUGGAAUGCAUAUGGUGCACGCAAUUAUGGAAAUCAUGCAAAGUAUGAAAUGCAUCAAGGUCUCCUAAUAUGUAUGAGAAAACUAUGGGGGUCUCAUGAGCAUGAGUAGCAACAUCACAUGGAGAAUAUUGACAACAUCCAAAACAAUGCAUAUUUGGAACAAUGUGAUCAUGGCAUGACAUAGUAGAUGAAUUGCGCAAAUCAUGUAGAGGAAGCAUGGCAAUAUCAUCACAUGAAAAACAAAAGCCAAUGACCAUCAUCUCGUCAUCUAUGCCAUAAGUGCAAAUGGGAUUGAUUUUAAUGGGGCAUGCAUAGUUACUAUGUUGAGAUUGAAAUGAGGCAAUAUGGGAGAUCUCACUCAUAGCAUAUGACAAGUUCAAAGGAUUGUCAAACAUGAUGUGACCAAAAGAAUUUUCACAUGAUAUCCUAUGGAGCAUAGCAUCACAACUAGGCAACUCAACAUGCUCAUCAUCAUAUUCAUCAUAAAUAGGUAAGUCAAGGCAUGAAGAAGUCUCACUAGCAUGAAGCAUGGGAAUAGGUGGGUCAACAUCAUGGGAGCAAUCGAUGUCAAGAGAGUCCACUAGUGGGACAAGAUAAGCACCAUCACCUAUGUUACCUUUGGAGCGUCGCUCAUGUGUUGUAGGUGAGGUGUUGAAGAUCGUCUCGUUGUCAUCUUCAUCUUGAUGGAACCAUGUGGGGGGUGCAUCAUCGUCCACCAUGGCCAUCGGUUUUCCCAUUGGAGGGAUGGAUUCGUCAAGGGUAGGCAUGUCGUCAUGUAGGAGACCUAGCACCAAAGAAGAAAACACACUAGGAGUAGAGGUUAAGUCGUUAGAAAUCAUAGUGGCCUCACAUGCCGUGUCAACUACCUCACUCUCUAAGUGUUGUGGCUCACUCACUCCCUCAAGGAUGCUCUCACUCAUAUGGUUGGUGGAGUCACUAAAAUGGCCCUCAACCUCACCUAGGAUGUGUGGCAUGCUCUCAUGUGUGGGGCUAGUGGUGGUCACACUCAUCCUCUCAUAGGAAAUGCUCUCAAUGUCACGUAUGGUGGAGUCACUCAUGUCACUCAUGUGGUGGUGGCUCUCCUCAUAUGACAAAUGGGGCAUCUCGACAUAUGUGGGUGUCGGAGAGAUGUAGGUGCAAAUGUCUCCAUGUGCGGUCUCGUAGCUUGACUCGGAGUAGGAGUUCAAUAUGGGCGCCGUCUUGAUGUUGUUGAAGAGGUUCGCGCUCGUCGCCGUGGUCGAAGGGGAUGGCCCUUGCUCGACCGUCUUGUCACCGUCUUGGUGUGGGAGGCCCAUAUGAUGUGGCACCUCGUAGCUCGUCUCCAUGACCGAAGGGAGUUUCCCAUGCUCGGCCAUCUUCCUUGAGGGGCUUCCGAAGAUGGAAGUGUCGCCCUCGCUCGUAGGUAGUGUCGCCCUCGCUCGUAGGUAGUCGCCUUGGACUUGAUGAAGUCGUUGUAGGCGUACUCGUGGGAAGUAGGCAAAGAUGUCGUACGUCCAAAGGCGAAGAUGCCUUGAGAACACUUGGCGAAGAUGCCGAAGUGGUUGAUGUAGCCGUAGCGCCGUCUUGGUGGUGGUCGUCUCGCGGUCUUCUCUUGUGCUUAUGAAGCUUGGACUUGGCGUGAAGUAGGGCUUGUUGGGACUUGUGCACUUGCGCUUGUGGAGCAUUUUCAUGAUGAUGAUGUCGUUGUCGUGCUUGAGCUCGUUGGCAUUCGUCGUCGUCGUGCACAUGAUGCUUGGAGGUGACUUGCCCUUCAUGACGAUGUUGAUCACGAACGUGAUGGUGGUCGCCAUGUAGAUGUUGACUUGGACGACUUGCGCUUGCAUCUUGUUUGCGCUCCGAAGACUUGUGUCUUGAAUGUCGCCGUCUUGAAGAUGAUGAAGGGGAAGCAGACUUGAGCAAGGUUCGAAUCUCCUCCAUCCUUGCAUCUUGCUCCUCUUUAUGUGCGGCAAGCUUCUUGUCGAUGUAGUCCCUUCUCCUUGCUUCAGAGUGACGAAUGUCGAUGGAGAUGUUCUCGAUGCGCUCUCGCAAUCUUGAUUGUGCGCCUUGCACUUGUCGUUGUAGAUCGAAGAUAGACGCUUUGGUGAUGUAGUUGUUCACGCCGUCGUUGUUGUCGUAGACCGGAGAUGAAAUGCCUUGCCUAUCCAUCACAUGACUCGAGCAAAUAUGAGUGGGAGAAAGAGAAGAACUUAUACCAAUGUACCUUGACCGAUGUUGACAAUGAAUCAAGUUCACUCAAAUGCGGACAAUGAAAUAGCACUAUUGGUACCAAUUCUUGUCGGUUCUCACACCUACACAAGUAAAGCUUAUAGUGGAGCUCGGUGAGGAUAGUGGCACAAAAAUUUAAUGCAAAAUGUUAGCAAGAGUCAAUAAUGUUGAAAGAGAUUCACAAAUUCGCAAGUGAAACAAAUGGACCAAUAGCAAAGAAUGGCACACGGAAACACACACACGGAUAGAUAAAUGGGGUCGUGCAACCAAGGAAUGAGCACAAAAUGUGGAAUCCACGGAAAACGCUCGUGUUGCACAACUCAAGAGAGACGCUAGCACGAUUGCUCAAUAGGCGGAUACGACACUUGUGCACAACCUAUAAGAUGCAAGAUGGAUAAACUUUUUAUCCCAAGUAUGCUAUAUAUGUAUGGUUCCCGGUGUUACUCUCAAGAUGAUCCAAGAUGAUCGGAUAUGACAAUCUUAUAUGCAAUGUGUUAUGAUGCUAUGGCACUUGCUUACAAGCUUCUUUGCUCUCUUUCUUUUGCUUAAAAGCUUUAUUUCUCUUUUUUUUUCUAUGGCCACUUUUGCACAAUGCACAAACUAAGAUAGCAAUUGUGUAUAUGCGGGAACAAACUUGAGACACAAUGGAUGAUAUGAUACCAAGAUGAUAUGGUAUGUAUGCAAUGGAUGAUGUAGAUCACUAAUGUGCACAAGUAACGUUGCCGGCAAUACUCAAAUGGCUAGUCUCGAUAGGCAAGUAACGCAAAAUGGGCUAGGGGUUAACAAUGCAAUGGCAAGGGGAAUAUACAAUGGUGUCGUCGAGGUUACCGUCCUUUGCGAUGAUGAGUGGCGGUGUUCUUGAUGUAGAUACCAAGAUGAUGGAGACUCGUCCCUAAGUAGCCGAAACACCUUAGGAAACGGAAAAACCGCGAACUCAAAAUCUCAAAUGACCAAUGUCAAAUGGUGGUAGCGGAAAGCGGUGGUGGUUUUGCACUAGGCAAAUGCGGAAGUGGAAUGAUGGAUAUACACGUGUCCGAAUUGAAGUUGCCGUCCCUAAGUAGCCGAAACACCUUAGGAGACACAAGCCACAACUCAAACAAGCUCAAACAACUAUUGGGUUAAGUUGGGGGUGGCGGAAGUGUAUGGUGGGCACGCCUAUGCGGAAAUGGUGGUGGUGGUUGAUGAAGAAGCAAUCGUCCCUAAGUAGCCGAAACACCUUAGGAGACUCAAAGCACUACUCAAGCAACCACUAAUGCUAUAUGGAACAAAAUGGGUUAGGUUGCGGAAGUCGGUGGUGGCUAUGCGGAUGAUAUGGUGGAGGACCUAGGCAAACUUGCCAAAUUUUCGAAAAUUUGAUGGAGUCAAAUGGUGUUGGUGGUAUUUUUGUGGGAAGGGGGAUGUCAAGAGCUUCAAAACGAGCUAAAGAACGUCAAAAUCGGAGUUCGGAUGAAUUAGUUAUGGGCAAAACAAAAAUCAGCCGAAGUCUGAAACUACAGGUUACGGACGUCCGGAAAGGUCGGAUGUCCGGGGCGUCGGACGUCCGGAAAAGUCGGAAAUCCGUAAAUUUGGUUCGGGUUAGGUGUUCCGGUCGUCCGGAAAAGGUCGGACGUCCGGUCGUUCCUAUGGCUCCGGACGUCCGUAAAACUCCGGUCGUCCGGUGAGUCGGGGUCAACGCGAGAUGCGAGUUCCGGGCGCGAUUUUGGGCGGAAAAUGGAGAUUUCGGGGUCAAAAUUGACGAGAUUUCGUGGAUGAAAGAUGGGGAAACUUGGGGAGAUGCUAGAUCCACUUGAAACCAAGCAAAUCCACGGAUCAAAAUCAACAAAACAUCAUCAAACCAACAAAUCACAAAAAUUUUGGAGGCUAUUUUUGGUGGGGAUUUUCAGAUUUAGGACGAAAUCAACAAAAUCAAGCUAGAAAACAAAGGGUAGGGGCUCCAAAAACGUGAUCAACGUGGCUCAUGAUACCAAGAUGAUGUAGGGUGGAACCCUAGGUGGACGAUCUUUCACGUUUGGAGGGGAUCCUACGGGGAUUCACGAAGAACGCGCGGAAGAACACGAGGAAAUCACGGGGAGGAACGAGGGAAAACACUCAACCAACAAGGAAUCGGUCACACAAGUGCUAGAUCAAAGAACACAAAGAGAUACACGAGAUCCAAAGUCAACAAAGGUAAGGAUACAAAGAUAACCGAUCUUCUCCGUGAGGAGGUCUUGAAUCCACAAGGGGAUCUUCCCACGAGGGGGUCUUGAAUCCGAUAGGAUCUUCUCCGAAGAGGCCGCGGUCUCUCACGAGGAGGAGAUCCGAUGGAUGAGCAAAGCUCUAUCUCUAACUUGAGCUAAAUCAACGCUAAACCUAACUAGGACGAGGUGGAGGAGUAUAUAUAGUCAUGGGCCACGAAGGGGUAAGUGAAGGGGUAC